AAGGGUUUCGAGAAAAGUUGAAGGUAAGUCAUAUGUUAUCUAGUUUUCAUUUUUUAUUUAGGUUUGGACACUAAAUCUAUCUAGUUUAGAUUUAUAUACGAGUGAAAGUGUUAAUUUAUUCCAAGCGCACUAUCUCUUUUGUCAAAAAUAAGCCACACUUUUGUUUUACAUUAUUACCUAAUUUACUUUCUCCUUGUAUGCAUAGACCAUGUUAUUUGGAUCUAUGCUUAAAAGCUAAGCUCUGUGUCUUGCUUUAUUUUUAAUUAAAGGCAAUAUCCAGUUUCUUAAAUUAUUUGCAAUGCGCUUGAAAAGGGGGAAAAACACUUAUGUGAUCAAAGUUUGU
rnacentral:misc_RNA from 1 species